GCCUGGAUGGCGGAAUAGGUAGACGCAAGGGACUUAAAAUCCCUCGGUCCAUAGCGACUGUGUGAGUUCGAUUCUCACUCCAGGUA
rnacentral:tRNA from 1 species